GGAGCUUGCUCCCUGAUGUUAGCGGCGGACGGGUGAGUAACACGUGGGUAACCUGCCUGUAAGACUGGGAUAACUCCGGGAAACCGGGGCUAAUACCGGAUGCUUGUUUGAACCGCAUGGUUCAAACAUAAAAGGUGGCUUCGGCUACCACUUACAGAUGGACCCGCGGCGCAUUAGCUAGUUGGUGAGGUAAUGGCUCACCAAGGCAACGAUGCGUAGCCGACCUGAGAGGGUGAUCGGCCACACUGGGACUGAGACACGGCCCAGACUCCUACGGGAGGCAGCAGUAGGGAAUCUUCCGCAAUGGACGAAAGUCUGACGGAGCAACGCCGCGUGAGUGAUGAAGGUUUUCGGAUCGUAAAGCUCUGUUGUUAGGGAAGAACAAGUACCGUUCGAAUAGGGCGGUACCUUGACGGUACCUAACCAGAAAGCCACGGCUAACUACGUGCCAGCAGCCGCGGUAAUACGUAGGUGGCAAGCGUUGUCCGGAAUUAUUGGGCGUAAAGGGCUCGCAGGCGGUUUCUUAAGUCUGAUGUGAAAGCCCCCGGCUCAACCGGGGGAGGGUCAUUGGAAACUGGG
rnacentral:rRNA from 1 species